UGAGUGGCAGACGGGUGAGUAACGCGUGGGAACCUUCCUUGCAGUACGGAAUAACUCCGGGAAACCGGUGCUAAUACCGUAUACGCCCCUCGGGGGAAAGAUUUAUCGCUGCAAGAUGGGCCCGCGUCGGAUUAGCUAGUUGGUGAGGUAAUGGCUCACCAAGGCUACGAUCCGUAGCUGGUCUGAGAGGAUGAUCAGCCACACUGGGACUGAGACACGGCCCAG
rnacentral:rRNA from 1 species